UACGAAGGGGGCUAGCGUUGCUCGGAAUGACUGGGCGUAAAGGGCGCGUAGGCGGUUCAUACAGUCAGAUGUGAAAUUCCCGGGCUUAACCUGGGGGCUGCAUUUGAUACGGAUGGGCUAGAGUUCGGGAGAGGAGAGUGGAAUUCCCAGUGUAGAGGUGAAAUUCGUAGAUAUUGGGAAGAACACCGGUGGCGAAGGCGGCUCUCUGGACCGAGACUGACGCUGAGGCGCGAAAGCGUGGGGAGCAAACAGG
rnacentral:rRNA from 1 species